rnacentral:misc_RNA from 1 species
UCCCCGUUGCCAGGGCAGUCUGAAUAGAAAAAUUCAACUAUUCAUAAGGGUUGCGCUCGUUGAUGGACUUAACCAAACAUCUCACGACAUGAGCUGACGACGGCCAUGCAACACCUGUCACCUUGCUCAAUAAAGCACUCUCGCCUUUCGGCAAAAUUCAAGGGAUGUCAAGCCCUGGUAAGGUUCUUCGCGUUGCUUCGAAUUAAAGAACACGAUCCACCGCUUGUGCGGGUCCCCGUCAAUUCCUUUAUGUUUUAGUCUUGCGACCGUACUCCACAGGCGGGAUACUUAACGCGUUAGCUUCGCUACUGAAGGGGUCGAUACCUCCAACAGCUAGUAUCCAUCGUUUACGGCGUGGACUAC